rnacentral:lncRNA from 1 species
GUGUCCUAACAGGCAUUCUGAGGUGCUAUGAUAUAUUCUAUGAUCUUCCAGAACAUAGAACCACAGGUUGGGUGGAAUGCCUCAGAUGCCUCCUGGCCUGGGUAGCUGGCUUUGCCUUUUCAGAGCUCCACCUGGGACUUUUUUGUAGGGAUGUUUACUCAUGACUCCAAGGCACACAGCUUUUCAUACAAGCUAUGAAGAGAGAGAAAUGCUGUUGUUGCUCAGCUAACAGAACGUGUUGAAGUCACCAGGACAUUUAAGGUUAGAUU